rnacentral:rRNA from 1 species
ACGGGAGGCAGCAGUGGGGAAUAUUGGGCAAUGGACGAAAGUCUGACCCAGCGACGCCGCGUGAAGGAAGAAGAUCCUCGGAUUGUAAACUUCAGUCAACAGGGAAGAAGAAAAUGACGGUACCUGUGAAGGAAGCUCCGGCUAACUACGUGCCAGCAGCCGCGGUAAUACGUAGGGAGCAAGCGUUAUCCGGAAUUACUGGGUGUAAAGGGAGUGUAGGCGGGACUGUAAGUCAGAUGUGAAAUAUGCCGGCUCAACUGGCAGACUGCAUUUGAAACUGCGGUUCUUGAGUGAAGUAGAGGUAAGCGGAAUUCCUAGUGUAGCGGUGAAAUGCGUAGAUAUUAGGAGGAACAUCAGUGGCGAAGGCGGCUUACUGGGCUUUAACUGACGCUGAGGCUCGAAAGCGUGGGGAGCAAACAGGAUUAGAUACCCUGGUA